rnacentral:rRNA from 1 species
GAUGAACGCUAGCGGCAGGCCUAACACAUGCAAGUCGAGGGGUAUAAAAGAGCUUGCUUUUUAGAGACCGGCAAACGGGUGCGGAACACGUACGCAAUCUGCCCUUAUCACGGGGAUAGCCCAGAGAAAUUUGGAUUAAUACCCGAUAGUAUUAUAAUAAGGCAUCUUGUUGUAAUUAAAGCUAUGGCGGAUAAGGAUGAGCGUGCGCAAGAUUAGCUAGUUGGUGAGGUAACGGCUCACCAAGGCGACGAUCUUUAGCUGAUGUGAGAGCAUGAUCAGCCACACGGGCACUUGAGACACGGGCCCGACUCCUACGGGAGGCAGCAGUGAGGAAUAUU